rnacentral:rRNA from 1 species
UCGUUGGGUGGGGGAUAACCUUGGGAAACUGGGGCUAAUACCGCAUGACGCCUGUGGGCCAAAGCAGUGAUGCGCCUGAUGAGGAGCCUGCGUUCGAUUAGCUAGUUGGUGGGGUAAAGGCCUACCAAGGCGACGAUCGAUAGCUGGUCUGAGAGGAUGAUCAGCCACACUGGGACUGAGACACGGCCCAGACUCCUACGGGAGGCAGCAGUGGGGAAUAUUGGACAAUGGGCGCAAGCCUGAUCCAGCAAUGCCGCGUGGAUGAAGAAGGUCUUCGGAUUGUAAAGUCCUUUCGGCGGGGACGAUGAUGACGGUACCCGCAGAAGAAGCCCCGGCUAACUUCGUGCCAGCAGCCGCGGUAAUACGAAGGGGGCUAGCGUUGCUCGGAAUGACUGGGCGUAAAGGGCGCGUAGGCGGAGUGCACAGUCAGGCGUGAAAUUCCCGGGCUCAACCUGGGGACUGCGUUUGAGACGUGCAUUCUAGAGUGGGGAAGAGGGUCGUGGAAUUCCCAGUGUAGAGGUGAAAUUCGUAGAUAUUGGGAAGA